GACGUAGGGCGCAAGCGUUGUCCGGAUUUAUUGGGCGUAAAGAGCUCGUAGGCGGCCUGUCGCGUCGACCGUGAAAACCCGCAGCUCAACUGCGGGCUUGCGGUCGAUACGGGCAGGCUGGAGUUCGGUAGGGGAGACUGGAAUUCCUGGUGUAGCGGUGAAAUGCGCAGAUAUCAGGAGGAACACCGGUGGCGAAGGCGGGGCGCUGGGCCGAUACUGACGCUGAGGAGCGAAAGCGUGGGGAGCGAACAGG
rnacentral:rRNA from 1 species